rnacentral:rRNA from 1 species
AGUGGCGCACGGGUGAGUAACGCGUGGGAACCUGCCUUUUCUGCGGGAUAACGGUUGGAAACGACCGCUAAUACCGCAUACGCCCUACGGGGGAAAGGUCCGCCGGAGAAAGAGGGGCCCGCGUCUGAUUAGCUAGUUGGUGGGGUAACGGCCUACCAAGGCGACGAUCAGUAGCUGGUCUGAGAGGAUGAUCAGCCACACUGGGACUGAGACACGGCCCAGACUCCUACGGGAGGCAGCAGUGGGGAAUAUUGGACAAUGGGGGCAACCCUGAUCCAGCAAUGCCGCGUGUGUGAUGAAGGCCUUAGGGUUGUAAAGCACUUUCACUGGUGAAGAUGAUGACGGUAACCAGAGAAGAAGCCCCGGCUAACUUCGUGCCAGCAGCCGCGGUAAUACGAAGGGGGCGAGCGUUGUUCGGAAUUACUGGGCGUAAAGGGCGCGUAGGCGGUCUUUUAAGUUAGGCGUGAAAUCCCCGGGCUCAACCUGGGAACUGCGCUUAAGACUGGAAGACUAGAAAACGGAAGAGGGUAGUGGAAUUCCCAGUGUAGAGGUGAAAUUCGUAGAUAUUGGGAAGAACACCAGUGGCGUAAGCGGCUACCUGGUCCGAUUUUGACGCUGAGGCGCGAAAGCGUGGGGAGCGAACAGGAUUAGAUACCCUGGUAGUCCACGCCGUAAACGAUGUCUGCUAGAUGUCGGGGGGUUACCCCUCGGUGUCGCCGCUAACGUCAUUAAACAGACCGCCUGGG